rnacentral:rRNA from 1 species
GACGAACGCUGGCGGCGUGCUUAACACAUGCAAGUCGAACGGUAAGGCCCUUCGGGGUACACGAGUGGCGAACGGGUGUGUAACACGUGGGUGAUCUGCCCUGCACUUCGGGAUAAGCCUGGGAAACUGGGUCUAAUACCGGAUAGGACCACUGCCUGCAUGGGUGGUGGUGGAAAGCCUUUGCGGUGUGGGAUGGGCCCGCGGCCUAUCAGCUUGUUGGUGGGGGGAUGGCCUACCAAGGGGACGACGGGUAGCCGGCCUGAGAGGGUGACCGGCCACACUGGGACUGAGAUACGGCCCAGACUCCUACGGGAGGCAGCAGUGGGGAAUAUUGCACAAUGGGCGCAAGCCUGAUGCUGCGACGCCGCGUGAGGGAUGACGGCCUUCGGGUUGUAAACCUCUUUCAGCACCGACGAAGCGCAAGUGACGGUGGGUGCAGAAGAAGGACCGGCCAACUACGUGCCAGCCGCCGCCGUAACAC